GGCUGGGGGAGACCUUCAGGCCCUGCCCGGCUUGGGUAGGGGGUGGCUUCUCACUCCUGGUUUUCCGGUGGGAAGGAGACUGCUUUGGCAGGAUUCACAGCUCGGCCCUCAAUGUCCCUCUUUGCCUGUAAACUUGGGGCCCGUCUGACCUCCCUCUGCUUCCCAGCUGCACUGAGGAGUUUCCCAGCCUCCCUCAUUUCCUCCCUUGGGCUUCUCCGUCAGCUCAGCCCCAGGCCCAGCCCUGCCCCCUACCCAGGCUCACCCCACAGGCCUAGCUUGAGCUCAGCAGCUGGAAAGUGGGGCCAGGAUCAGCCAGUGAGGGGAAGCCACAGCAUUGGAGCCAAUCCUGGAGCUGCUGGGAGACCGCACACCUCCAGGGCCCCCGUUGGGGCUGCUGGCUGGGCUCAGGACGGGGCUGGGGCCCAGGCGAGGUGGCCAUCGAGGAGGCGGGCACUUCGGAGCGGGAAGCCAGGGGCCCUCGGUGAACAAAGACUGGGUGGGAGGCGGAGGCGGCCUGUUCCUCUCCACCCCGCCCCCCAGCGCCUGCUGAGCCGAGACUACAGACAUCGAGGCAGGGGCGGAGGAGCAUGGCUGGGCCCCGCGCGGCGCGGCUGUCCCCGCUGCUGCAACUCGGCAGCCUGGCGCUGGUAGCGGGCAGGGCCCCCGAAGGCCCUCUGCUGUCCCCAACCCCGCCUGGACGUCUGCGUGUAGGGAGCUUGCAGUCCACCUGCCCUCCCCCGCCAGCCCCCUUUCCUAACUCAGGAGAGCAGGAUGAGGUGAAGCUAUCCUCAGGGAGACUCCCAGGCUUGCUGAUAUCCAUGGCUACCAGCAGCAGGCACCUGCCCACUCCUCAGUCACCUGCCCACUCCCUGUUGGGAGCCCCCAGAAACAGUGGCACCCCUUGGAGGAACGGCUGGGGUGGCUGGAGGCUGAGGUGCCCAAGCUCAGAGAGCAGGUACCAUAGAGGCAGGGCUGCAUGUUUGGGGUGGGGUGGACUUUUGCAUACUGGGAGGAGAAGAGAGGGUUGGGGGUCCCUGGGGACCCUAAAAUAGUUUCACUUCAAAAGCACACAGAGAAGAUCUCAUCUGAACAGUCUUUAACAUCCAUUCUCUCAUGAGUGAAGAAUCUCCAGAGUAUUUGUGGUGUGUGGAUUUCCGUGCCCUUCAUAAUGAAGCACCUGCCAGGCACGGGGUGAGGGUGGGGACUGCUGCCCUUUCUGCCCAAGGAUGGACCUGUGCUCCCUGAGAACCAUGUGAGACGGAUGCUGACAGAAGGAGACCGGCCUCUGCCGUGGAGUUGUCAAAUUCUCAUCCUGACUCCGUUUUUGCACCUCAUGAAUCCAUGAGACAUGGAAAGGCUGAGCUGUAGUCCCAUCUCUUCCCCAGAAUGAGGACCUGCAGGCCAGAGUGAGGCGGCUGGAGUCCUGUGAAUGCCGCCCUGCCUCUGUCCAGUGCUGGGGGCUUGGGCGCGCCUGGCCUGAGGGGUCUUGCUGGGAGCCCAAUGCCUGCACAGCCUGCAUCUGCCAGGACGGGGCAGCACGCUGUGGCCCUCGGCCCGAGCUGCCCCACUGCCAACGUUAGUGCCACCCAAUCUACCCACUGAGCCACUUCAGGGCCUGGAGAUGGUGUUGGGCCUGAGUGCCACACUGUCUCCUCCUCAGGCUGCAGCCACAAUGGUCAGGUCUGUGGUAAUGGGGAGACGUUCUCCCCAGACACCUGCACCUCCUGCCUCUGCCUGGUGAGUUCCCACGCCCUCCCUCCAGCUCCCCAUCACUAGGUGCUGGGACUGGAUAUUGUGUGAUGGGUUCUUGCCCCUGGUGGCCUUGGGCUGAUUCUCUGGGGGUCUGCUGUCUGAAGUGCAACCCCCCCCCAAGCCUCAAGCCCCUUGAUUUUGCCUUGACAAAGAGUGGCAUGGGGGCCAGAGGAUGUAGUUACUAUCUUCUUUCCUCAAACCCUCUCCUGUGUGACGAGCGCUGUUGCCCUCACCCCACCUCAUCUGCUACCUCACAUUUCCACUGCCUGCUUUCUGUCACUUCCUCCAUGGCCUUUUCUCCUGGCCUUUUCUUUCCUACUCCUCCACUGAGAAAGCCCUGGGUUCUCUUCCUAGGAUCUCUCCACUCUGGGGAAGUUGCUGGCACCUGGAGAAGCGGGUUCCAAGGGGUCAAGGGCUUCAGGAAUGGUGGGGUGGAUGGGACAUCUCUUUUCUGCCCUUGGGCUGGGGUAGCAUGUAUGCUGAGCCAGCUCAUCCUCUGCUUCUGGACACAUUCCUGCCUGGGGUGAGUCUGGAGUUCGGAAGGCCCUGCAGUCACCCUAGCUGCUUCCACAGGAAGGGGCCAUCACCUGUACCCAGAAGCCAUGCCCAAGAGCACCCUGCCCUGAGCUGGGAGCAUGCUGCCCACACUGUGAACCAGGUCAGCAUGCUACAGGCCCUGCCCUCCCUCCUGGUUGUGCCCUGGGGGACCUGACAGAGAGAGAGAGCAGAGCUGAAGAAACCCUGUGAUGGUGCCUGGUGAGUGCUGAGCUGAGCUGGAGCCAGCAAAUGCUGACGCUGCCCUGGGAUGCAUCAAAGAUUAUCAGGACCCUGAGGAGCUUCUGGUCUAGUUGAGAAGAUAAAUUUACAGCUAAUCUAUCACAAGAUUUAAGAUCCAAUGAACAGAUUAGGAGAUGUAGAAGACAUGGGCCAGGGAUUUAGCCCAGUGGUUCUGUCGCCUGCCUCGCAAGCACAAGGACCCGAGUUCAAUCCCCGGUACCAAAAAAAAAAAAAAAAGAGAGAUGUAGAAGACAGUGCAUGCUUUCCCAGAGGAAGGAACAGGAGGGCAGGGGACACCCAUCUGAGCAGGUAGGCAGUUAGGAAGGCCUUUGUAGCCCAGGGGUCAUUUGCACUGGAUCUUCAAGGGAAGGUGGGAUUUCUCCAGGAGAAGGAGAACUUGAGGUCCCUCUGAAUAGGAACCAGGCAGGGAGAAAUGUAUUCCAAGAAUCAGUCCAGGAGGGCCAGUGGAAACAGGCUGUGAUAAGCCCUGCAGUUGGGCUUUCUUCUGUGGGCAGUAGGGAACUUUUGAAGGCUGAAGAGCCAGAGUGUGACAUAUUCAAAUAUAAUGUUUAGGAAUAUUCAGCUGGUGUGGGCUGGAUGCAGAGAGACCAGUUGGGGGCUUUUACAGUCCUUGUCUAGGCAUGGAGCCAGAGAUGGUAGGAGGCUGCAAAUAACAAAGUGUUUCUAAAGAAUGUGCAGGGAUUGGUGACUGGUUGGAUCCAUGGAGUAAUGGUGGCCUUUCAUUUAAAAGAAAGACACCCCUUUAAAGGCACUUUAGUCCAAUCUGUUGUAAAAUAAAUACAUCGAGGAGCCAGGUGUGGUGAUGCAUGCCCAUGAUCCCAGCACUCUGGAGGCUAAGGCAGGAGGAUUCCUGUACGUUUAAGGCCAGCCUGGGCUACAUAGUGAGUUCAAGGAUAGCCUUAACUACUUAGCAAGACCUUGUCUCAAAAAAUUAAGAAUAAAUAAAUAAAUACAUUGUUUCCAUCAGUUAGACACUUGACUGUCACCUGCUGGAAAGGUGUAGUAAAUAUAAAACUCUGAUAGCUGGGUCCUGAAUGGUGGCCCUGUGAUGUGGCACCCAGCCCUCUGAGUCCGGUUUUGCAGGCUGCCCUGAGGGCCACAGGUCAGGGGAAACGUGGCAUCCAGAGCCCUGUGUCACUUGCACCUGCCAGGUAAGAGAAUCAGGGCCUCGCCCCGGCUAUCACCUGCAUCCCUGCUGCCCCAGGCCUGAUCCUACCCAUCCUAAUCUGGAGGCCAGGCCAGGCUUCUGCCUCCACCCAGGUGUUGAGGCCUGGAGCCUGCUAGGCCAAAGGCCUGAAGAGUCCUCUGGCUCGGGCAGUGGGGAGGGAGGAGGCGGGGCUGAGUGUCUUGACCCACAGGCAGGGACCGUGCAGUGCCAGGGGCCCUCAUGCUCUGAGCUCAACUGUCUGGAGAGCUACACCCCACCCAGGGAGUGCUGCCCCAUCUGCCGGCCAGGCUGUGAGUAUGAGGGGCGGCUUCACGAAGAGGGGGCCAGCUUCCUGUCCAUCUCCAACCCUUGUCUCCAGUGCUCCUGCCUGAGGAGCCUGGUUCGCUGUGUGCCCAUGAAGUGCCCACCCAGUCCCUGCCCCGAGCCAGUUCUGAGGCCUGGAGACUGCUGCCCAGCCUGCCAAGCCCCCAGCUGCACAGAAGGUGGCACUCACAGGGGCCAUGGCCAAGAGUGGACUGCAUCCAGGGACCCCUGCCAGAUCUGCCGAUGCCUGGAGGGCCACAUCCAGUGCCACCAGGGGGAAUGCGCCAGCCUGUGCCCAUACCCUGCCCGGCCCCUCCUGGGCACCUGCGGCCCAGUGUGCGAUGGCUGUUUCCUAAAUGGGGGAGAGCACUGCAGCGGGGAGCCUGUGGGCUUUGGAGACCCCUGCUCGAGCUGCCGCUGUGCUGUGAGUGUGGCUGCCUGGCAGGGCCGGCCUGGCUUCUGGGCUUGCCUGCUGCCUGCUAACCAGGCCCUAUUGGCAGAAUGGGAGUGUCCAGUGUGAGCCUCUGCCCUGCCCACCUGUGUCCUGCAGACACCCAGGCCGGGUCCCUGGGCAGUGCUGCCCCGUCUGCAAUGGCUGUGAAUACCAGGGACAGCAGUAUCAGAGCCAGGAGACCUUCAGCCUCCAGGAGAGUGGUCGCUGGUCCGCUGCUCCUGCCAGGCUGGUGAUGUCUCCUGUGAGGACCAGGAGUGCCCAGUUGCCCCCUGUGCCCUGUCUGGCUCUGGCUCAAGGUUUUGCCCAGCCUGUGUGCUCAAUGGAGAGGAGUUUGCUGAAGGGGUCCAGUGGGAGCCUGAUGGCCAGCCCUGCACUGCCUGCUCCUGCCAAGAUGAGGUGCCUGUCUGUGGGGCUGUGCUCUGCUCCCCACCCUCCUGCCAGCACCCCACCCAGCCCCCGGUGCCUGCUGCCCCGGCUGUGAGAGCUGCACCUACCAUGGCCACGUGUACGCCAAUGGGCAGAACUUCACAGACCUGGACAAGCCUUGCCAUGCCUGCCACUGUGAGGUACCUCUCUGGCUUGCCACUGCCCUGCUGAGGCCCUCCUGGGGCUGCCCACAGCCUCUGUCUGCUCUCAGGAUGGGACUGUGAGGUGUUCCGUGGUCAACUGCCUUCCCACUACCUGUGCCAGGCCCCAGAAUCAACUCGGUCAGUGCUGGCCCAGGUGUCCAGACUGCAUCCUGGAGCAACAGGUGUUUACGGAUGGCCAGCGCUUCUCCUACCCCAGAGACCCCUGCCAAGAGUGCCACUGUCAGGAAGGCCACACUCGCUGCCAGCCUCGCGCCUGCCCCUGGGCUCCCUGUGCCCACCCACUGCCCGGGACCUGCUGCCAGAGCCACUGCAGCGGCUGCGCCUUUGGCGGUAAAGAGUACCCCAGUGGAGCCGACUUCCCCCACCCCACCGACCCCUGCCGCCUCUGUCGCUGUCUGGUGAAUGCACCCUGGAGAGGAGAAGCCCAGGGGAGUGGCAGUGGGGCUUGGGGAGGCUGGGAGAGGCCCACUAAAUGGGGUGGGGAGGGGGCGGGGGUCUCCUCGGCCUUGUCCCUCUAACCUGGCCUGGCACUGUCCCUCUGUGCCCCCGCAGAGCGGCAACGUGCAGUGCCUGGCUCGCCACUGCCCGCCGUUGCCCUGUCCCGAGCCGGUGCUGCCGCCAGGAGGCUGCUGCCCGCAGUGCCCGGGUAGGAGCCGCUCCGCGCCGAGCCUCCCCCAUGCCUCUGACCCGCUCUCCCCCGCAGCCCUCCCCGCCCCCUCCGGCUGCCUGCUGCCAGGGGGCACCGUCCCUGUCCGCCACGAGGAGCACUUUUCCCCACCCGGCGACCCCUGCAGCCGCUGCCACUGCCUCAACGGCUCGGUGUCCUGACGGCGGCUGCCCUGCGCACCCGCGCCCUGCGCCCACCGCGCCAGGGGCGCUGCUGCGGCUCCUUCGACGGUACCGCUCCCCCCCCCCCAACAUCCGGUCACCACUUCUUCGGCUGCCCCCUGCUGGGUCCCCCGUUCCUCUGUCCCAGACCGGGUGGCCCAGAAUCCCCCUUGCUGCUUGCCUAGCAUGCCCGAGGCCCUGGGUUCAUUCCUAGCAUUAAAUAAGGGGUUGGAGUACAGUGCUGCGUCUCAGGGCUCUGGAGCCAAAUACCAGGCCUCCCAGCCCCAGCCCGCCUCGCCUCCGCAGGCUGCCUGUUCCAGGGGAAGGAGUUCGCCAGCGGGGAGCGUUUCCCGUCGCCUAGCGCCGCGUGCCACGAGUGCCUCUGCUGGGAGGGCAGGGUCACCUGCGAGCCCAGGGCUCGUGCCCCUGCACAGUGCCCCUUCCCCCCAGGGGCGACUGCUGCCCUGCCUGUGACGUAAGAGAAAAGCUCUGGACUAAAGGUUGUAUUUUCUCCUGCUUUUGAUGCUAUUUGUGUGACUUUGGACAAAUUACAUAACCUCUUCGGGCUUUCUUUUUUUUGGGUACUGGGGAUCAAACUCCGGACUUUGCGCUAACGAGGCAGGCGGUGGAACCACUGAGCUAAAUCCCAGCCCUGGGCUUAAUUUUUAAACUCCUGUUAAAAAAGAAAAAGAGAAUUGAACAGAUCGAGUUUCCACAUCUUUGGUGUCUCCUGCUAUUUUAGCAAUUAUUGCUACACAACUUCUACCAACGGAAUUUUUAUUUAUUCUGUACUUUUCCUCAAAUAAAUUCAUUUAUUAAUUUAAAUUUAUUUAGACAGGAGUUUUAUAUCACACAGGAAAUGGAAAAUUAGACUUGCCAGGAAUAGAUUACUGUAAAAAUGAAAAUAAUUGAAAUACAAGCCAG
rnacentral:lncRNA from 1 species